rnacentral:rRNA from 1 species
GACGAACGCUGGCGGCGUGCUUAACACAUGCAAGUCGAACGGAAAGGCCCUGCUUUUGUGGGGUGCUCGAGUGGCGAACGGGUGAGUAACACGUGAGUAACCUGCCCUUGACUUUGGGAUAACUUCAGGAAACUGGGGCUAAUACCGGAUAGGAGCUCCUGCUGCAUGGUGGGGGUUGGAAAGUUUCGGCGGUUGGGGAUGGACUCGCGGCUUAUCAGCUUGUUGGUGGGGUAGUGGCUUACCAAGGCUUUGACGGGUAGCCGGCCUGAGAGGGUGACCGGCCACAUUGGGACUGAGAUACGGCCCAGACUCCUACGGGAGGCAGCAGUGGGGAAUAUUGCACAAUGGGCGGAAGCCUGAUGCAGCAACGCCGCGUGCGGGAUGAAGGCCUUCGGGUUGUAAACCGCUUUCGCCUGUGACGAAGCGUGAGUGACGGUAAUGGGUAAAGAAGCGCCGGCUAACUACGUG